rnacentral:rRNA from 1 species
GUAAAAGUGAUAGAAAUUUUAAUUCAUGUUGUUGGGAGGUCGUUUUGAAGUAUUAGUUAAGUGUAAAGAGAAGCGUCUAAUUUUAUAAGUUAAGGGUGAUUGAAUAUUUUAAAGAUUUGAACUAGAGUGAAUAAGUACUGAAAAGGAAAUAUUAUUUUAUUUGAAGUAUAGUUGAAUUUAAUUUUUGUACCUUUUGUAUCAUGGUUCUUUUAGAGUAGAAGUUAAAAAUUAACUAAUCCCGAAAAGAGUUGAGCUAUUUUUUGACUUAGCCGUCAUCGUUGUAAAGCUGUGGUUAGAUUGAAAGAUAGGGGUGAAACGCCUUUCGAAACUUUUGAUUGCUGGUUGGUUGGGAGUUAUAUAGAAGUAUUGGCUUAAUUUUUUAUUAUUUUAGUGAUUGGUGAGUUAUAAUUUUACUUAGAAUAAGGGUUUAAGAUUGUUUUUCAUUAAGAUAAAUUUGUUAGGGCUUAGGCAGAAAAGGAUAAGCUUUUUUGUGUUGUGUAAGAAAGAUUGUUAAAUAAUGUUAUUAGAUGAUAUGUUGGUGGGCUUAGAGUUAGCUAUCUGUGGUUAGAGUUUGUUAUAGAUUAUUGUCAUUUGAAAAUUUAAGAUUUUUACAGUGUUUUCUAAGGAUAAGUGUUAUUGUUAGUGUAAGGAAGAUAGUAAAGUGGUACUGACUUUAUUACUUAAAUUUUUAAUUAGUUUAUGUAUUUCUGGAGAAAUGAGUAUUUAGUUGGAUUUUAAUUGAUCAUUUAGGUUAGUUUUUUAAGGUUUAAAUUUUAUGGAUAGCGUAAAUUAGAAUUAGGUUGUGGGCUAUGUGCUAGUUUUUAGUGCAUGUUUAGCAGCGUUUAAUGAAAAUUUAAUUUUUGAAAAGGAAUUCGGCAAAGACUAGCUCCGCCUGUUUAUCAAAAACAUGGCUCCUUGAAAAAUAGUCGUAUAAGGGGUCGGACCUGCCCGGUGACUGGAAUGUUAAACGGCCGCGGUACCCUAACCGUGCAAAGGUAGCAUAAUCAUUUGCCUUUUAAUUGGAGGCUGGUAUGAAUGGUUUGACGAGAGCUAAGCUGUCUCUUUGGAAAUAUCUAGAAAUUAACUUCUGGGUGAAGAGGCCCAGGUAAGGCUGAGGGACAAGAAGACCCUGUUGAGCUUUAGUGAGGUAACAAAUUGUAGAGAUUAAGGCUUAUAAAUUUAUGUUGUAGGACCUGGUGUUUAUUUAUUAAAUUAUAGUUUUGUUUUGUUGUUAAUCUUUAGUUGGGGCGACUGAGGAACAGUAAAAGCUUCCUCUGAAGUAAAUAGGUAAUUAAAUAUAUGUGUUUGUAAAGUUAUUGGCAGAUUUAUGAGAUCCAGUAUUGUACUGAUUAAGGGAAUAAGUUACCACAGGGAUAACAGCGUAAUCUUUCUGGAGAGAUCAUAUCGAAAGAAGGGUUUGCGACCUCGAUGUUGGACUAAGAUAUCCUAAGGGUGUAGAAGCUCUUGAUGGUUGGUCUGUUCGACCAUUAAAAUCUUACAUGAUCUGAGUUCAGACCGGCGUGAGCCAGGUUGGUUUCUAUCUUCAGUUUUAGUUGACUUUUGGCUAGUACGAAAGGACCGCUUUAAGGUAAAUAUUUUGUUUUUGGAGAGGAUGUUUAAAUUGAUUGUUAAAUUUUAGUAUUGUUAUGUUAUUUCAUUAUAU